AGUGAACGCUGGCGGUAGGCCUAACACAUGCAAGUCGAACGGCAGCACAGUAAGAGCUUGCUCUUACGGGUGGCGAGUGGCGGACGGGUGAGGAAUACAUCGGAAUUUACUUUUUCGUGGGGGAUAACGUAGGGAAACUUACGCUAAUACCGCAUACGACCUACGGGUGAAAGAAGGGGAUUUUUGGACCUUUCGCGAUUGAAUGAGCCGAUGUCGGAUUAGCUAGUUGGCGGGGUAAAGGCCAACCAAGGCGACGAUCCGUAGCUGGUCUGAGAGGAUGAUCAGCCACACUGGAACUGAGACACGGUCCAGACUCCUACGGGAGGCAGCAGUGGGGAAUAUUGGACAAUGGGCGCAAGCCUGAUCCAGCCAUACCGCGUGGGUGAAGAAGGCCUUCGGGUUGUAAAGCCCUUUUGUUGGGAAAGAAAAGCAGCAGGUUAAUACCCCGCUGUUCUGACGGUACCCAAAGAAUAAGCACCGGCUAACUUCGUG
rnacentral:rRNA from 1 species